CGUGCCCUAUUCUGUUGCAAAACCAUGUCCCAGUGCUGGCCUAGACACAAGGGGUAGGAAAAUAGACACCACGUUUUUGUAGGAAGAUUGGAGAAUAGUGGUCUCCUUGCACUUGACCUGCUGUGAAGAGUUGAUGUUAACUUCUUGGUGAGUAUGUAAACUACAUCCAUGGGCACAGGCGUUCUCACAGAGGAUGCCCCAUCCAGGCCUGUGAUGGAACUGCAGUGCCCUGGCAAGUGCACUGGCUUCCAGGGCUGGGCUAGGGAGGGCACUGAGCUGAGAUCCAGAGGAGGAGCAGAGGUGGGAGGGUCUCACAGGCUCAGAAGCUCCAGGGUGGAAGGAAGCCCAGCCUUUGAGGGACAAAAGGGAAGAAGACAGGCAGAGAUCAUUCUGGAGAAGCCAGUAGGGGAGUGGCCAUGUGCAGCCUUGUCUACUAUGCCAGUGAUCUCACUCUUUACAUAAAGAAAAUGCACAAGAGAUAUGGGGACAUCUUUGUGGCUGUUGUUCUGCCAGCAACCGUGGCAUACACAAAAACCCUUACACAGCAGGAGCCCAGGAGGAGAAGAGAGUCCCCAGUCCACUCCUUAGACAGCCCCUCUGGCCAGGAGCUGGAGAGGAGAGUUUCCAGUGCCAUUCCUUAGUCAGGCGCCCUGGGCUAGAACUCAGGCUUUCAGACAGAGCCUGACUUUUCCACACCCACUUCCUACUGGUUUACAGCUACUGUAUAAAGCAAAGCACCCUCACUUUCCUCUUUGUGACAGGUAGUGAUGCUUUUUACAGAAACUAGACUUUAUAGAAGCCUGGAGGUGUGGAAUGGUAGAGAUCCACAGGACUCUGUAGUGAAAAUGCAACACCAGCUCCCAUCUGAAAUACACAGCCACAGAUGCAUUUUUCCAUUUUAUUUUAUUUCUUCCGUAAGUUAUUGGGGUACAGGUGGUAUUUGCUUAUUACAUGUGCCAUGUUGGUGUGCUGCACC
rnacentral:lncRNA from 1 species